GAUGAACGCUGGCGGCGUGCCUAAUACAUGCAAGUCGAGCGAACAGACGAGGAGCUUGCUCCUCUGACGUUAGCGGCGGACGGGUGAGAAACACGUGGAAAACCUACCUAUAAGACUGGGAUCACCACGGGAAACCGGCGCUAAUACCGGAUAAUCUACUGAACCGCAUGGUUCAAUAGUGAAAGUCGGCUUUGCUGUCACUUAUAGAUGGAUAUGAGCUGCAUUAGCUAGUUGGUAAGGUAACGGCUUACCACGGCAACGAGGCGUAGACGACGGGUGAGAGGGAUCGGCGACACGGGAACUGGAACACGGACCAUGCGCCUGCGGGAGGCAGCAGUAGGGAAUCGUCCGCAAUAGGCGAGAGCCUGGCAGAGCGGCGCCGCGUGAGUUAUGAAGAUCUUCGGAUCGUAAUACUCUGUUAUUAGGUGAGAACAAAUUUGUAAGUAACUGUGCACGGCUUGACGGUACCGGAUCAGAAAGCCACGGCUAACUACGUG
rnacentral:rRNA from 1 species